GACGAACGCUGGCGGCGUGCCUAAUACAUGCAAGUCGAGCGAAUCAAUGGGAGCUUGCUCCCUGAGAUUAGCGGCGGACGGGUGAGUAACACGUGGGUAACCUGCCUGUAAGACUGGGAUAACUUCGGGAAACCGGAGCUAAUACCGGAUAGUUUCUUUUCUCGCAUGAGAGAAGAUGGAAAGAUGGUUUCGGCUAUCACUUACAGAUGGACCCGCGGCGCAUUAGCUAGUUGGUGAGGUAACGGCUCACCAAGGCGACGAUGCGUAGCCGACCUGAGAGGGUGAUCGGCCACACUGGGACUGAGACACGGCCCAGACUCCUACGGGAGGCAGCAGUAGGGAAUCUUCCGCAAUGGACGAAAGUCUGACGGAGCAACGCCGCGUGAGCGAAGAAGGCCUUCGGGUCGUAAAGCUCUGUUGUUAGGGAAGAACAAGUACGAGAGUAACUGCUCGUACCUUGACGGUACCUAACCAGAAAGCCACGGCUAACUACGUGCCAGCAGCCGCGGUAAGAC
rnacentral:rRNA from 1 species